rnacentral:ncRNA from 21 species
GUUGACCUCGGAUCAGGUAGGAAUA